AACGAACGCUGGCGGCAUGCCUAACACAUGCAAGUCGAACGAGACCUUCGGGUCUAGUGGCGCACGGGUGCGUAACGCGUGGGAAUCUGCCCUUGGGUUCGGAAUAACAGCGAGAAAUUGCUGCUAAUACCGGAUGAUGACGUAAGUCCAAAGAUUUAUCGCCCAAGGAUGAGCCCGCGUAGGAUUAGCUAGUUGGUGAGGUAAAGGCUCACCAAAGACGACGAUCCUUAGCUGGUCUGAGAGGAUGAUCAGCCACACUGGGACUGAGACACGGCCCAGACUCCUACGGAGGCAGCAGUGGGGGAAUAUUGGACAAUGGGCGAAAGACCUGAUCAGCAAUGCCGCGUGAGUGAUGAAGGCCUUAGGGUUGUAAAGCUC
rnacentral:rRNA from 1 species